GCUUUCGAGUCGGAUUGCUUGAGAAUGCAGUCCAAAGUGGGUGGUAAACUCCAUCCAAGGCUAAAUACUGGCACGAGUCCGAUAGUAGACAAGUACCGUGAGGGAAAGUUGAAAAGUACUCUGAAGAGAGAGUAAAUAGUACGUGAAACCGAUUGCAGGGAAGCUGGUGGAGUCAAGCUUCAUGCUUGGAGAAUUCUCGCUCGGGGCUUUGCUGUGUUUUGGGCAUGGUACCGGUUAGCUUGGAAAGAGUUGGGCACACUCGUGUGCUUCAAGUCGGCCCGGGCGUGGUUGAUUGAGCCGGUGCUAAUGCUCUGUCCUGAGCGAUCUAUUCUCCGCGGCAUAGAUCACGGUCGAUAGUGUUUUGUGAAACGUGCUGUCCGACUGUCUAACUGUGCUUUGGUGGGCCCUUGGCUUGCCGGGUGCAGGAUGGCAGGUGGCGGUUGUGGGCCUCGUGCUCUCGACUGCUCAAGCUGGUCUCGACCGGCUGAUGGUCGGACA
rnacentral:rRNA from 1 species